rnacentral:tRNA from 1 species
GGGGAUGUAGCUCAGUGAUAGAAUGCUUGCCUAGCAUGUGCAAAGCCUUGAGUUCUAUCCUCAGCACCCCCC